AUGAAAAUCAUGUGAUAAUUUUCUGCUUACAAUGUCGCAGUAUACAAUAUUUGAAUAGCCGUUGUCUUGCGACGCACGUCUGCCUUAUGCGAUAUUGAGUCGAUACGUUUUGGACACAUUGAUGUGAACAUAACCUCCGUUAGAGUUUGCACGACACUUUCAUAACAUCGUCCAUUCGCAGCUCUAUCGGCUCACAUUCUUUCGUUUGCCGCACGACAGCUGUCACGAGAGAUUUAUUCCGUGACUGUAUACAAACCCACAUUCGAUUACAGACUUCGGCUCAGCGUUUUGUUUUAUUUUAUUGUGAAUUGUGAAAGCAACGUGCGCCAUGGUUUUCGAAACAUCGCAGUUAGUAAACCAGAUUCAAGAAAAACCAGAUUCGAAACCACGAAAAACUGGUAAAAUUUCAUUUCAAAAGCGGCUCAACAACCGAAGCAGAAUCCGGAAGCAAUCGGAUUCUUUGAUUCAGCUGAACACGGAUGUUGCUGAGGAAUUGGUGAAUUUACAAAGCACAGCAAACGUGUCAAUUCCCCAAAUACCAUUCCAACAGAUGGUCGAAUCGGAAGAAAUCACGAAAUCCAAAGAUGUGGUCUACUCAGAUGAUAAAUGUGACAUUGAUUUUCUUGAGAGCGACAUUCUCAUGAAAAUACUAUCGCAGGAGUCAAGCAUAUCAAAUGUGGCCAGCAAAGAUGAAGCCAACGAAGACACAGAGCAAUCGAACAUAGUUUCGUUCGAAGGGACGAAUGCUGGUCAACGUCGGUCGAGGAAGCAAACCAAAUCGAAGCGCAAAGAUCGUGUUGCAAGGGAAAUGAUAAGACUACAACACACCACAAAUUUGCUGAUUCCGAAGUUACCAUUCCAACGAUUGGUACGUGAAGUUUUGAUGAAAUACAGACAUGAUUUUCGUAUGCAAUCAAGUACAUUGGAAUGUCUACAGGAAGCGGCCGAAAGUUAUUUGGUGCAACUAUUCCAAGACUGCUAUUUGUGCUGCUUGCAUCGUUCUCGCGUCACAUUGACAGAAAAAGAUGUCCGACUUGUUCAGCUUCUACGCGUCUCGACCGAUGUAGGUCGGCGAUAAGACUUAAUUCAUUAAUCACAUAAAAAAUCAAUAUUUUCUAUUGCGUGUUUCGUUUGCUAUUCCUUUGAAAUUACACAAGUUUUGUGUUUUUAAACUUGACAGUAUAACAAUAAAGGUUUAUAAUCGAAAAUAAUACCAACACCAAAUCUUUUUGUAUUUUUAUGGUAAAAAUGGAUUUGCGACCAGAUAUUUUGCGACCAAUUGGCAUAAUAAUACCGGUAUGAACGUUGAAGUUUUUUAGAUACAAUAUAUUACCGCAUUUUAACGGAUAGAUGUAAUAAAAUGAGAUUUCAGCUCGAUUAAUAAAUGUUGUGAUGUUAUUGUUGGCCAUCGUUUCAAACAGAUUGUUAAGUUUGUGUUAAGUAGUUUUGUUUUCUUCGUGCAAUCGAUACAUACAAGCCGUGUUUGAAAUUGAAUGUCAGUGUGAACAUAACCUUCGUUAAAGGAUGAACGGUAUAUCGUCGCAUUAUUGUCACCACGCAUUUGCCAUUCGUCAUUUGCUUGUAGAUGUUCUAAGUUCGCAUAUUUUGUCGCACUGUACCGAAGAUAGCUAACCUAUCUUUGAAUUUCGUAACUUUAUGCAAACUCAUAUUCGUUUAAAUUAUUCUGCGAGACGUUUUAACACAUUUUUGUGACUUGUAAGCAAUGUGCGCCAAGGUUCGGUCUAUCGUCAAAAUGCAGCCAGUAAAAAGAACUUCGUCCCGAAUUGCAGCGGCCUACAGUAAUAAAAUCCCUGAUAGCUCACAACAAUCCGAAUCGCGAAAAACUGGCAAAAUUUCAAUCCAUCAGAGCAUUAUACACCGACGUCAAACUAGAAACCAAUCUGUUACAAAGAAGUUAAUAAAUUGCGUCGCAAAGGAAUCGGCGAGUUUACAAAACACCCAGAAAUUGUCCAUUCCCCAAAUACAACAGCAACAAAAUGUUGAAUCGGAGGCUGGCACUCUAUCUAACAAUGUUGUCGAUUCAGAUGACGAUUGUGACAUUGAUUACCUUGGGCGACCACCAUCAGUGGAUCCAAGUGACUCAAAUGAGGACACUGACGGCGAUGAAACUGACGACAGCACCGAAAAAUCAAAGCGACCGGGCAUUAAUCGCGAACGAUUGCAAAAACUGACCAAAAUCGAUGGGCUUGGGCACUCAGACAUGGACACAGGCCAUGUUGCGAAAGACACAUCCGAAUUAGAAAACACAUCCGAACUGGUCAUUCCACGGUCGACAUUCCAAAAUUUGGUACGUGAAAUUAUGCAACAACAACAAAAAGAUGAUUUUCGAAUGCAGUCCACUACUUUGGAAUGUCUACAGGCUGCAACCGAGCAGAUUCUUAUUCAAUAUUUCGAAGACAUCAAUUCUGUUCCAGAUUCUCCACAAACAUUGGUUGAAGCACGAAUGAAAUUCAUGGUUAUGAAUUACUAUUUGAAUUUCAUGCAAAAGAAUGAAUGAACCAAACCGAAUGAAACCCAUUUUGGAACAAUUCAGUUGAAUAGAGUUAAGAAGACACGUACAUAAAAAAGAUUAUUCAUUUAUAUAUUUUGCGUUACUUUGUGAUCACCAAAAAUGCAUUCGAAUGCAUGAAACUUUGGUGACUUUUUGGCUGGCCCUCACUUUAAAUUAAAAAAUUCCAUGUAAACUUAGAGAAAAAGGUCGAGAAAUUAAAAAAAAUAUUUUGUUUAUACAUUGGCUUCUA